rnacentral:lncRNA from 1 species
UAAAGCCUCUUAUCUGCAGGGAAUCUGUUCCAAGACCCUCCGUGGAUGCCUGAGACUGUGGAUGAUACCAAACUCUAAGCACAGGAAUCGAACUUGGGACCUUGCACUUGUGAGGCAAGUGGCAGAACCAUUGAGCUAAAUCCUCGGCCCUGGACUAAUGUUAUUUCAAAAACAAACUCUCAGUACUGGAGUUACUGGAUCAAAGGGGCAGGAACCCGAGGUGCUCCAGGUGAUUCAGGGCUGGGUGUGGUCCUCACGGAGCAAGUCGCAGCGGGGUCAAGAGAAUGGCGAGAGACUUCACUGGACAAGGACUGGAAGGCACCUAUGGAGGGGACAGGUGAGUGCUCAGCAGAGUUGCUGGGCUCCAAGGGCCGUCUUCACCAAGGUCCUGGGUCUAGGUAGGUGGCAUUUCGCAGGAUCCUGUGGUCAUCCAGCUGCACACAGCCUCCAAGGCCCUGAAUUGGCCAUUGUGACUAGGAACUGGGGCUUGAAUUUUACCUUAUGUCAAAAAUCUCCCGAUUUUAAGAUCUGAUUCUUGGCUCAGUUACUGGAAAGCUUGCAAAUUUUUUUGAAAUAGCCCUGGUGUGCGAAUCUACUUUUCUCCAAUGAAGGUUUGCAUUUGUCUUAAGAUGUGCUGUGAGCAUAAAAUGCACACCAAAUUUCAGAAUAGUACUCCACAAAAAGUAUUUUGUCAAUUAUCAUAGUGCAUCAAAAUGGUAUACCUUUGA